AAAGAUGGUUCUGCUAUCACUCUUGGAUGGACCUGCGGUGCAUUAGCUAGUUGGUAAGGUAACGGCUUACCAAGGCAAUGAUGCAUAGCCGAGUUGAGAGACUGAUCGGCCACAUUGGGACUGAGACACGGCCCAAACUCCUACGGGAGGCAGCAGUAGGGAAUCUUCCACAAUGGACGAAAGUCUGAUGGAGCAACGCCGCGUGAGUGAAGAAGGGUUUCGGCUCGUAAAGCUCUGUUGGUAGUGAAGAAAGAUAGAGGUAGUAACUGGCCUUUAUUGACGGUAAUUACUUAGAAAGUCACGGCUAACUACGUGCCAGCAGCCGCGGUAAUACGUAGGUGGCAAGCGUUGUCCGGAUUUAUUGGGCGUAAAGCGAGUGCAGGCGGUUCAAUAAGUCUGAUGUGAAAGCCUUCGGCUCAACCGGAGAAUUGCAUCAGAAACUGUUGAACUUGAGUGCGGAAGAGGAGAGUGGAACUCCAUGUGUAGCGGUGGAAUGCGUAGAUAUAUGGAAGAACACCAGUGGCGAAGGCGGCUCUCUGGUCUGCAACUGACGCUGAGGCUCGAAAGCAUGGGUAGCGAACAGGAUUAGAUACCCUGGUAGUCCAUGCCGUAAACGAUGAGUGCUAAGUGUUGGGAGGUUUCCGCCUCUCA
rnacentral:rRNA from 1 species